rnacentral:rRNA from 1 species
GACGAACGCUGGCGGCGUGCCUAAUACAUGCAAGUAGAACGCUGAAGGAGGAGCUUGCUUCUCUGGAUGAGUUGCGAACGGGUGAGUAACGCGUAGGUAACCUGCCUGGUAGCGGGGGAUAACUAUUGGAAACGAUAGCUAAUACCGCAUAAUAGUAGAUGUCGCAUGACAUUUGCUUAAAAGGUGCAAUUGCAUCACUACCAGCUGGACCUGCGUUGUAUUAGCUAGUUGGUGAGGUAACGGCUCACCAAGGCAACGAUACAUAGCCGACCUGAGAGGGUGAUCGGCCACACUGGGACUGAGACACGGCCCAGACUCCUACGGGAGGCAGCAGUAGGGAAUCUUCGGCAAUGGACGGAAGUCUGACCGAGCAACGCCGCGUGAGUGAAGAAGGUUUUCGGAUCGUAAAGCUCUGUUGUAAGAGAAGAACGAGUGUGAGAGUGGAAAGUUCACACUGUGACGGUAUCUUACCAGAAAGGGACGGCUAACUACGUG